rnacentral:rRNA from 1 species
GGUCUUACCGGACCUUUCCUUCGGGACAGAGGAGACAGGUGGUGCAUGGUUGUCGUCAGCUCGUGUCGUGAGAUGUUGGGUUAAGUCCCGCAACGAGCGCAACCCCUAUCCCCAGUAGCCAGCAUUAAAGGUGGGCACUCUGAGGAGACUGCCAGGGAUAACCUGGAGGAAGGCGGGGAUGACGUCAAAUCAUCAUGCCCCUUAUGAUUUGGGCUACACACGUGCUACAAUGGCGUAAACAAAGGGAAGCAGAGCGGUGACGCCGAGCAAAUCCCAAAAAUAACGUCCCAGUUCGGACUGCAGUCUGCAACUCGACUGCACGAAGCUGGAAUCGCUAGUAAUCGCGGAUCAGAAUGCCGCGGUGAAUACGUUCCCGGGUCU